CCCCGGCUAGGGAUUUUUCUGAGCAAGAACACAUGAGAUAUUCCUCUCAUGACGCCGAGAGUGGAUGAUCCUCUAUCGACACUCAAUAGCCCUCGUAAUGUCGACUACCACUCCCAAUGACCAGCUGUACUAGAUCUGGGACAGCCAAACCUAUAAGUCUAGUAUCAAAGAGUGGAGCACUCAUACAGGACAUCCUUGGUGUCUCAAGUCUAAGGACCAGAUAUACCACUAGGAC
rnacentral:lncRNA from 1 species